rnacentral:snoRNA from 1 species
CACUUUGUCCAAAAUUCCGCUGCUUGACAGUACGAUCGUAUAAUUGAUGUUUUAUCAAAGACCGUUUUACGAAUCGUGAUAUGCUUGCGGAAAAAUCAAUAUGUCAUUCUUUAAGAACCCUGGAGGAUCUCUUAUAAAGAGUUUAAAACAUGAGACCGGGGUGUCAGGGAAUGACGAUAUAG